UACGGAGGGUGCGAGCGUUGUCCGGAAUCACUGGGCGUAAAGGGCGCGUAGGCGGCGCAGGAAGUCAACGGUGAAAGCUCGGCGCUCAACGCCGAGUCGGCCGUCGAUACUCCCGUGCUCGAGCACUGUAGAGGCAGGUGGAAUUCCGGGUGUAGCGGUGGAAUGCGUAGAGAUCCGGAAGAACACCGGUGGCGAAGGCGGCCUGCUGGGCAGUAGCUGACGCUGAGGCGCGACAGCGUGGGGAGCAAACAGG
rnacentral:rRNA from 1 species